UAGUUAAAAAUAGAUGUGUAAUAACCAUUGAUAUUCACGUCACCAUCAUUUGAUCUAAACAGUUUAUAAUUGCGGUAUCAAUUGAAACGAACACUUAAAUUUCAUUUUCAAUAAUUUAACAAAUCCGUGUUUAUUAUUUAUAUGGUUAAUGUAAUUACCAUUUGAAUUGUGCGGACA